GAUCGACCGCCCCUGCCCUCGCCUUCUCUUCUUCUC
rnacentral:misc_RNA from 1 species